GGGCACGACACCGGAGAGGGAGCCUGAGAAACGGCUACCACAUCCAAGGAUGGCAGCAGGCGCGCAAAUUACCCAAUCCCGACACGGGGAGGUAGUGACAAUAAAUAACAAUACGGGGUUCUUUAGGAUCUCGUAAUUGGAAUGAGUACAAUUUAAAUCUCUUAACGAGGAACAAUUGGAGGGCAAGUCUGGUGCCAGCAGCCGCGGUAAUUCCAGCUCCNAUAGCGUAUAUUAAAGUUGUUGCAGUUAAAAAGCUCGUAGUUGAAUUUCGGGGUUAGUAGGUUGGUCAUGCCUNUGGUAUGUACUGGUCUCANUGAUUCCUCCUUCCUUAUGAANCGUAAUGCNAUUAAUUUGGUGUUGNGGGGAAUUUGGACUGUUACUUNNAAAAAA
rnacentral:rRNA from 1 species